CCCAUAAGUAAAGGGUCAUUUCAUAUCACAAUGCAAUCAUGUUUCAUUGUGAAAAUGAAACUGCUCCCUGUGGUAAAUUUGAUUUAAGAAGUUAUUUUAAAGUCCAUGAAGAAAAGUGGUGGUUCUGGGAUUAUUACAGUAAAAAACGUUGUUUCCUCAGAUUGAGGAUUUACCGUGAGGGGGUGAGAAAUGUUAACUUAAAUACAUCCAGGGAGUUAUACUUUCACACGCUCACAAGUAGUGUCAAUAAUGACAGUGUGAAACCUAAACAGAAUGAACCAAAUGUAAACAAUGUCACAAAAACACUGACCUUGGUUCGAACUCCAGGUGUGAAAACACCCGAAGUUGCAGAUAUUUAAUUUGUCUCUUAUUGCAGACUUCCAUUGAGGUCAGCAAUGUGCAGUUUUGUUGCAGAUGUGUAGCUCUUGACUUUGAUUUUUAUCUUAUUUUUUGUUAUCUAUUAGUGCUUCAGUCAGAGUGUUAAAUUACGAGGUAGAACUGACCUCAUCUGAGCCUCUGUGCUCAUUCUCUUCAAAAUAAAAGCCCGUGAAUAAAAGGUCAUUUCAUAUCACAAUGCAAUCAUGUUUCAUUGUGAAUAUGAAAAUGCUCCCUGUGGUAAAUUUGAUUUAAGAAGUUAUUUCAAAGUCCAUGAAGAAAGGCGGUGGUUCUGGGAUUAUUACAGUAAAAAAAAGGUUGUUUCCUCAGAUUGCGGAUUUGCCAUGAGGGGUGAGAAAUGUUUACUGCAAAUACAUCCGGGAAGUUAUCCUUUCACACCCUCACAAGUGCAGAUUCCUGCUGCAGUGAUAGAAUUUCUGGAUUUGUGAAAUCCCUUUAUAGGAGACAUAUUGCUGCUGUGUCAGUGCUGUAUUAUUACAGCUUACUCCUGUAAGCCGCAUUUUCCACAGAGGUUAACA